CUGUCAGGUCUGUGUGGUGGAUGUGACAUCACAUCCCAACUAAGCUCUAAUGAUUUUUCCCGAGUUAGCAAAGACAUGUGUGGUCUAGUGUUGUCAUGGUAGAACAUGAUUCCUUUACGAUUUGCCAAUUCUGGCUGUUUUUCUUUGAUUGCUUCCUCCAGUUUCAUUAGUUGUUGACAGUAAACAUCUGAAUUGAUCAUUUAGUUCCAUGG